UACGAAGGGGGCUAGCGUUGCUCGGAAUCACUGGGCGUAAAGCGCACGUAGGCGGCUUUUUAAGUCAGGGGUGAAAUCCCGGAGCUCAACUCCGGAACUGCCCUUGAUACUGGAAAGCUUGAGUCCGGGAGAGGUGAGUGGAACUGCGAGUGUAGAGGUGAAAUUCGUAGAUAUUCGCAAGAACACCCGUGGCGAAGGCGGCGCCCUGGUCCGUUACUGACGCUGAGACGCGAAAGCGCGGGGAGCGAACGGGG
rnacentral:rRNA from 1 species